rnacentral:rRNA from 1 species
AAUAUUGGACAAUGGGGGCAAGCGUGAUCCAGCAAUGCCGCGUGUGUGAAGAAGGCCUGCGGGUUGUAAAGCACUUUCAGUGGGGAAGAACAGGCCUGGGCUAAUACCCCAGGUGUCUGACGUUACCCACAGAAGAAGCACCGGCUAACUCCGUGCCAGCAGCCGCGGUAAUACGGAGGGUGCAAGCGUUAAUUGGAAUCACUGGGCGUAAAGCGCACGUAGGCGGCACGUUAAGUCAGAUGUGAAACCCCUGGGCUCAACCUGGGAAUGGCAUUUGAUACUGACGCGCUCGAGUGUGAGAGAGGGAGGUGGAAUUCCAGGUGUAGCGGUGAAAUGCGUAGAUAUCUGGAGGAACACCCGUGGCGAAGGCGGCCUCCUGGCUCAUGACUGACGCUGAGGUGCGAAAGAGUGGGGAGCAAACAGGCUUAGAUACCCUGGUAGUCCACGCGGUAAACGAUGUCGACUAGCCGUUCGGUCCAUUUAAGGGCGGAGUGGCGCAGCCAACGCGAUAAGUCGACCGCCUGGAGACCC